GCUUCCCUCUGCAUGUCAGGCAGGGCCAUGGCCUUCCAGGAGAGCUACAGCAGCAGUCUGCCUUCCGGGGCUGUGCCCUCUGGAUUUCUGGUGGCUCUCAUUUCUCUGUUUCCAGGCUGCUGAUUUAUUUUCUUGCUUCAUCCCUUUGGUCCGGCCAAGACUCACCUGGGGCACCAGGUGGCAUGUGCGUGGACAGUGUGGAGUCAUAUCUUAGCCACAGU
rnacentral:lncRNA from 1 species